AUGAGCCAAAAGGAAGUGAGGGAAGAUAGGAGGAGCAAAGGGAAGGAGGAGCAAAUGAAGAUAUACCUAGAUCUUCAAACAAAAAACAUUGACAUGAAAGAGGCUGUGAAGAGGAGGAAGCUUGACAUCGAGGAGGCCGCUCAACUCAAGAAGCUUGAGAUUGAGGCCACCAAUGCCGAGACCAAAGCCAAGGAGGUGGCACUCGCGUUCAUGAGCGUCGACAAGAACAACAUUGGCAUGUACCAGGAUAGAGAUGGCAACCUCACGCAGCAUUGUGCUAGACCGCAAGUACUAGGACCAUUGCUGACUGCCGGAUAUAGAUCGCCAGAUCUAGACCAAGGGGUCUCGCUUUCUGCUCACUGUUACUUCUAUCAUCUCUCCAAUCGAUCCAAGUUCCAGCUCAAGCCACUGGACCCUGCAACUACUUGCGAGACAGCACGGGAUAUCUAUCUCUGCAACAAGAUCCGUCUCUCAUCUCUCUAGUCGAUUCAAGUACCAGCUCAAUCGAGAGCGUACCCUGCAACCAAUGGCGGGGGUUCUGGAUGCUUUGGCGUCCUACGUGACCAAGAUGCUUGCCGACAUGGCCAGAGAAGAGGUGGCCAUUCUAAUCGGCGUGUCUGACGGGAUCAAAGACCUGAGCAUCAAGCUUGGGGACCUCAAGAAUUUCUUUGCUGAUGCUGAUCGGAGGAACAUCACCGAUGAGAGUGUACAGGGGUGGGUGGGGGAACUGAAGCGUGCCAUGUACCUGGCCACCGACAUCCUCGACCUAUGUCAGCUCAAGGCCAUGGAGAAAGGUCAAACAAAGGACAGGGGGUGCCUUAACCCUCUGCUUUUUUGCAUGCGGAAUCCCCUCCACGCCCACGACAUCCGCAUCAAGCUGCUCAACCAAAAUUUGGAUGAUAUUUGCAAGAGGGGCAGCAGUUUCAAUUUCAUCAAGCUAGAAGCCUACCAAGACCAAAAGACCACUCGGUCUCCUGCCAUUGACCGCAAAACAGAUUCACUGAUAGAGCGGUCCGGUGUGGUUGGAGAGAAGAUCGAGGAGGACACGAGGGCACUUGUGGAGGUGCUUACAAGGGAGGUGGUAGGUGACAAGAGUGGUCACCUCAUCGUGGUCGCCAUUGUCGGUAUCGGAGGGAUUGGUAAGACUACCCUCGGCAAGAAGGUCUUCAAUGAUGAGGCCAUCGAAGGGAAGUUUACUAAGAAGAUAUGGCUUAGCAUCACACAAGAUUUCACCGAUGUUGAGUUGUUAAGUACGACCAUCACUGCCAUUGGGGCAGAUCUGCCUAGAGGGGGUGGGGCUCAAGACAAGGCCCUACUCGUCGAUGCUCUCAAGAACGCCAUCAAGGACAAGAAGUUCUUUCUUGUACUAGAUGACAUGUGGGAUGUCGAUGCAUGGAACAAACAUCUAAUGACUCCCUUUAGCUAUGGUGGCCCCGGUAGUAGAGUCCUCAUCACCACCAGACAUGACACUGUAGCCCGAAGCAUGAAAGCCUUUCAUCCGUACCAUCAUGUUGACAAAUUAGCUUCACAAGAUGCUUGGUCAUUGCUCAAGAAGCAGGUACUCACAUCAGAGGAAAAUGAACAAGAAGUUGAUAUGCUAGAAGAUAUUGGGUUUCAGAUUCUAGCAAAAUGCGAUGGUUUACCACUUGCUAUAAAAGUUAUGGGUGGACUCUUAUGCAAGAAGGAGAAAACACGACGUGAUUGGCAAGAUGUCCUGAAUGAUGAUAUCUGGUCAGUAUCUCAAAUGUCAAAGGAACUAAAUUAUGCCAUAUAUCUUAGCUAUCAGGACUUAUCACCGUACAUAAAACAGUGCUUCUUGCACUUCUCCCUCAAACCAAAAAAGACAGUGAUAAAUGAUACUGAAAUUGUGUCCAUGUGGGUUGGUGAAGGAUUGGUUGAAGGAGACACAUAUAGUCGUAAUUUGGAAGAAGGGAAUAAGUACUACAAGGAGCUAAUAGUAAGGAACCUUAUAGAGGUAGAUACAGAUUGCCCUAGUCAACUUUUUUGCAACAUGCAUGAUGUUAUUCGCUCAUUUGCUCAAUUUGUGGCUAGGGAUGAAACACUAGUAGGUCACAAUGGAGAUACUAUCAAAACAAAUCUUAGAUCACCGAAUUAUCUUAGAUUAUCCAUAGAAACGAAAGGAGUGGGAUCCGAUGAAUUUGAGUGGAGAUAUUUAAGAGAGCAAAAAUUGCUUAGAUCACUAAUAUUAACUGGAAACCUCAAAAGUCAGCCUGGGGAUUCUUUGACUAUCUUCCCAAGUCUACGUCUUUUGCAUAUAGAUUCUGCAAAUAUUGCUGCACUAGUUGAAUCUAUAUACCAACUCAAGCAUUUGAGAUAUUUGGCAUUAAAGAGGACUGAUAUGUGUAGACUACCAGAGAACAUCCAUGAGAUGAAAUUCCUACAACAUAUUAGCCUUGAUGGUUGUGAAAGUUUCAGGAAACUUCCUGAUAGCAUUAUCAAGCUGCAAGGGUUGAGAUAUCUUGAUAUUGAUGACACACGUAUAUGUAGUAUUCCUAGGGGUUUCCGAGCUCUUACAAAUUUGAGUGCACUAUAUGGGUUUCCAGCCUAUACUGAUGGUGACUGGUGUAGUUUGGAAGAGUUGGGGUCUCUUUCCCAGCUCAAUGAACUUUCACUAGAGAGCCUAGAAAAUGUAUCUAGUGCCUUGUUGGCUGCAAAGGCAAGGAUAAAUGCAAAGAAACAACUUACCUAUCUUUGUUUGAGAUGUGGUGGUAGAGUGGGAGAUGGGUUGGUCCAAGGAGAAGUCUCUGAGUCUAAGGAGGAGGAGCAAAUAAUUGAGGCGGUGUUUGAUGUGCUAUGUCCUCAGCCUUGCAUAGAACACAUCAUAAUAAAAAGAUAUUUUGGCCGCCGGCUCCCAGGAUGGAUGGCGUCCACAGCUAUGGCGCCUCUCGAGAGCUUGAAGAUUCUAGUCCUCGAAGACCUGCCCUGCUGCACCCAACUCCCAGAUGGCUUGUGUAGGCUCCCGUAUUUGGAGUGGAUAAUGGUGGACGGGGCUCCAGUAAUCAAGUGUAUUGGUCCUGAAUUUGUUCAACAGUACAAUCAACUGCACCGUCCUUCAUCUCAGUUGGCUGCUACGUUUCCUAAACUCCAGCAGUUGCAUUUUGACGGAAUGGAGGAAUGGGAGGAGUGGGUUUGGGAGACGGAAGUGAAAGCUAUGCCCUUAUUGGAGGAACUUCGUAUCAGUGAUUGCAAACUGGGUCGUAUGCCUCCAGGACUAAUGUCUCAUGCAAUGGCUUUGAAGAGGAUAGAAAUAUGGAACGUCAAAGGUUUGCACUCCCUAGAGAACUUUCUUUCUGUAGUUGAGCUCGACUUGGGAAACAUAGACGAACUGGCCAUGAUAUCCAAUCUUCCAAAAUUACAAAAGCUUGGAAUUAGUUACUGCAGAAAGCUCAAGACACUGAAGGACAUGGAUGCACUCCGGAGACUCCAUGUGAGAGUUUCCCGCUGGGAAAAUCAACUUCCGGUCUACCUGCAGACUGUAAAGCCAAGUCAUUUGCUGCUGACCAGCAACCUAGAAGUACUCACUUCCAUGGCUGAGGGUGAAUCAAGCUCCGAGUGGGACAAGUUCAGUCAUAUCAAGCAAGUCGAGGCUUAUGCAGAGGAAGGAGGAGAUGAGAAGAAAUGGCACGUGUUCCACACAUCUGAAUCUUGCAACAUACAGACAAAUAUUCAUCAGGAUCGAUUUGUUGAAUAGGAGGACUAGGCUGAAACUCCAGCGGAACGAGGAAGGGUAUAUCAUUUCAAGUGAAUGCACCGUAUGAUGCAAGGAUAUAUGGAUACGAGGAAAGCAUCAGCCAUAAUGCCAUAUACACUUACCUGCAGAGAUUCAGACACCAUACAAAUUUCUUGCUAAGUGUGACAUAUACAGUUACCAAUUUAUAGAUGUAAACUUCUUGCUAAAUUUCUUGGCGGACUAUGUAGCUGGUGAAGAAACAUGGUGAUCUUGGGCAAGUCUGUCGUUUGUGCAGUGCAAGCAACUAAUGGAGUUUAUGCUACUCUGCGCUGCUCUGCUCUGUUCUCUGAAAGCAGCUCAGGUUGCAGCUUCUCCAUAGUGGCAUUUUUCUUUUUCUUUUUCACGGGUGUUUUGUAUUGGUUCUCUGAAAAACUAUGUUUUUUUUGAUAGAUCAGUCAAUAGUAUACUGGUAUUUCAGCUUUUAAUUUGUACUGCAACAACACAAAUGACUGUCAGAGAGUGUAGUUCAUUCAAGCUCCCGGCUGCUAAAUUGUAACUGUAUGUCAUAGGAAUUGGGAGUGAUGUAUACUGGACCAAACAAAUGGUGGUGAGAUCCUGCUGUCAGUAUGGUCUAGCAAUCUGUUGUUUCUUCGAUCAGUGCAAUCAGAUUAAGUUCAGGUUUGUUC